rnacentral:antisense_RNA from 1 species
AGAGAGCAGAGCCACGCCACACAGGAGGCCAGCUCCAGGCACAGAACUCAGCCCACAGACCUCACAAUUCCAGGCUUCCUGGGAACCAAAGCAAGAAAAAAGGAGAAGCACACAGACUUUCGAUUUUAUAAGCCUCACUGGCUAAUAACACAAAGUGGGUGUUUAUCAGGAGACAGACACUGUCUGGCACUGAACUCUAGGACCUGAUCUGUGGAUUCUGACGAGCACAAGAGCCAGACCCUCCAGGGGUGCAUGUGGAAGGGGCAGGGCUGCAGGGGCCUCCUUGGUGUGUCUCAGGGUGACAGGCACAGAGCCCUCCGCAGUGGGAGCCGGAAGUGUGGGUGCCAUACUUGCUGCAGGGACAGUGUCCUGCCACCAGCCCCUUGGCCUCGAGAUGACAGUCCUGGCCCAUGCUCGGGUUCUCUCAAUGUUCAGAACCCACGUUCUGAAAGGUGGCAACCUCAGCAACUUAGCCAAUGAAACAAGAAGAGAAACGGUUGGUUCCUAACAAACCCAGGAACACAAGGAUUUUCAGAGUCCCGGGUAGCACAGGGUCUGUCUGCAGAUGCUGGGAAGGGCUCUGAGGGCCUGGGAGGCUUUCUGAAUUAUGGGGGCAACAUGGGGAGACUGGGCUUUCUGUGGACCAUGACAGCUCCGCAGCCGUGCUAGGCUCCUCAGCUCCACUGUCAGGGCUAGGAAUUGGCCACAGAACCCCCAGAGCCAACCCUGGGGCCCACUAGGACCCCAAACACCUGUGUUUUCAUUCUGCGUGGCCUCCUGGUUCCCUGGAGUUCUUUUUUAUGCUGCCUCUGGUGUGAGGUCCUCAGCAUUUAAUUUGUUCUAAGUUUAAAAGCUGCAAGAGCAAAACAGAACCCCCAAAGCCUGGGGCCCACAGCUGCUGCGGCUGAUCAGAGAUACGACCCCAGAGGACCACAUCCACCAGGGGCCGGAUGGACAGCCACCUAUUUUGUACUCCUUGUUUCAAAAGCAACAAUAGCAAAUAACAUUCCAAAAGUUCUAUGAUAAGACUUCAAGACACUAGGAUUUAAAGAAAAUCCUAGACAUUUUCAAAGAGAAGAAACAGCUACUGCAUGGGUCUCCUGAUGCUGCUGUAGUGAACCGCCACGGCCUUGGCAGCUUAAAGCAAUCAGACUCUUCUCUCAGUCCUGGAGGUCAGGAGUCUCACUGGGCCAAAACCAAGGUUCGGCAGGGCUGUGCUCCUCCCGUAGGUCGGGAGCCUCCAUGCCUUGCCUUCCUGCCUUCCAGAGGCUGCCUGCAUUCCUGGGCUGAGGCUCUCCCCUCCCGCCGACGCUCACUGCCACCAUCACAUUCCUUCUCUGCCUCCCUCUUCCACGGCCCCUCGUGAUGAUGUCGGGCCCAUGCAGAUAACCCCAGAUAAUUUCCCACCUCAGGAUCCUCCACUUAACCCCACCCUCCCAGUCCCUUUUGCCACAUAGGGCCCCAUAGCCACAGGGUUCGAGUGUGGACCUCCCUGGGGCUGUUAUUCAAACUGCCACAGAUGCCACAAACACCAGGCCCAGAGGAGGUGGACAAGUGUGUGCAAAUCCACAAAACCAGCAAAGCACGUGAAGACGUGCAGAUGAGGAAGACCCCAAUGGCGCGGGAGGGCAGACACAGAGCCGUCCACAGAUGGAUCGGAGCUCCGGGGAAGGCACCGCAGAGCCAGCGCCGUCUGAGGCACACGAUGGCAGACGGGAAAAGAAGCCACCUGCUGGGAUGCUGAGACUCGCUCGCAGGAGAUUUCGGAACUGGCUGAGGUCACAGCUGGAACCACUGUGGCCAGCUAGAGUCUGCACAGCCCGAGUUUCCACCCCGGGGUCCCAGUAACUCCGCCCAAAUGUGCACACGAGACCCAUGAGGAGACAUAACUUUCCAGAACCCCCUUUUCUUCCACCAGCCACUUACUCAUCCAAGAACCCACCCCCGAACCUUCCCUAACAGAAACACUGCAUUAAAGCCAGCGCGGGGAGACAGACGUGAACUGCACCCCUGUCUCCUUGUGGGUUGGCCUAGAAUAAAAGCUUUUCUUUUCUC